rnacentral:rRNA from 1 species
AUUGAACGCUGGCGGCAGGCCUAACACAUGCAAGUCGAGCGGCAGCGGGGCCUUCGGGUUGCCGGCGAGCGGCGGACGGGUGAGUAAUGCCUAGGAAUCUGCCUGUUAGUGGGGGAUAACGCGGGGAAACUCGCGCUAAUACCGCAUACGUCCUACGGGAGAAAGCGGGGGCUCUUCGGACCUCGCGCUAACAGAUGAGCCUAGGUCGGAUUAGCUAGUUGGUGGGGUAAUGGCCCACCAAGGCGACGAUCCGUAACUGGUCUGAGAGGAUGAUCAGUCACACUGGAACUGAGACACGGUCCAGACUCCUACGGGAGGCAGCAGUGGGGAAUAUUGGACAAUGGGCGAAAGCCUGAUUCAGCCAUGCCGCGUGUGUGAAGAAGGUCUUCGGAUUGUAAAGCACUUUAAGUCGGGAGGAAGGGCUGUAGGCUAAUACCUUGCAGUUUUGACGUUACCGACAGAAUAAGCACCGGCUAACUUCGUGCCAGCCGCCGCCGUAA